rnacentral:rRNA from 1 species
AUUGAACGCUGGCGGCAGGCCUAACACAUGCAAGUCGAACGGUAACAGGAAGCAGCUUGCUGCUUCGCUGACGAGUGGCGGACGGGUGAGUAAUGUCUGGGAAGCUGCCUGAUGGAGGGGGAUAACUACUGGAAACGGUAGCUAAUACCGCAUAAUGUCGCAAGACCAAAGAGGGGGACCUUCGGGCCUCUUGCCAUCGGAUGUGCCCAGAUGGGAUUAGCUUGUUGGUGGGGUAACGGCUCACCAAGGCGACGAUCCCUAGCUGGUCUGAGAGGAUGACCAGCCACACUGGAACUGAGACACGGUCCAGACUCCUACGGGAGGCAGCAGUGGGGAAUAUUGCACAAUGGGCGCAAGCCUGAUGCAGCCAUGCCGCGUGUAUGAAGAAGGCCUUCGGGUUGUAAAGUACUUUCAGCGGGGAGGAAGGGAGUAAAGUUAAUACCUUUGCUCAUUGACGUUACCCGCAGAAGAAGCACCGGCUAACUCCGCG